rnacentral:rRNA from 1 species
AGUGAACGCUGGCGGUAGGCCUAACACAUGCAAGUCGAACGGCAGCACAGUAAGAGCUUGCUCUUACGGGUGGCGAGUGGCGGACGGGUGAGGAAUACAUCGGAAUCUACUUUUUCGUGGGGGAUAACGUAGGGAAACUUACGCUAAUACCGCAUACGACCUACGGGUGAAAGCAGGGGAUCUUCGGACCUUGCGCGAUUGAAUGAGCCGAUGUCGGAUUAGCUAGUUGGCGGGGUAAAGGCCCACCAAGGCGACGAUCCGUAGCUGGUCUGAGAGGAUGAUCCGCCACACUGGAACUGAGACACGGUCCAGACUCCUACGGGAGGCAGCAGUGGGGAAUAUUGGACAAUGGGCGCAAGCCUGCUCCAGCCAUACCGCGUGGGUGAAGAAGGCCUUCGGGUUGUAAAGCCCUUUUGUUGGGAAAGAAAAGCAGCAGGUUAAUACCCCGCUGUUCUGACGGUACCCAAAGAAUAAGCACCGGCUAACUUCGU